GUGCAGGCGAGGAGAGCUUGGAGCUGGCUCCAUGGGAGAGGGACCUUCGCCUGUCACAGCCUUCCUAGCUGGGAGAAGCAGUGCCGGCUCUGGUCCUAGAGCCCUAUCAGCCGAGCCUGUGGCGAAUUAAUCACUUGCGUUUUAAAUGCCAAUACAGCCCUUUCUGCCUUCUUCUCCCAGUGAUGCGGAUGCGGCGAAGGCAGCAAAUCCUCCGGCUGUGCGUGCCCUCCAUGGACUGCUGCUCCAUCCUUGCCUGUCGUGCUCGCGUGUGUGCAUGGCUGGGAGUGCUGCCUAGGUGCAGCCGGGAAUGAGACAGCUGUGGGGCAGGGGACAGCACAGUUCCAAGGGGUGACUCAAGGUGGGGAAUACAGCCCCCCCUACACACCCACAGGGCUGCAAGUUGCUUGAAGACAGGGGUCUUUUGUGCCUCCACUUCGUCUCUGUCAUGCCCCGAAUGGAUGUUGGGAGCAAUCGCCCCUCCAGAAGCAGAAGGCGAAGUCGUUCGCAAUGAAUCCAUGGCAGCUUCGAUCGAAUGGUGAGCUGGAGCACCUACUCACAGGCCACUCCUUGAUGUGACAGAAGAGAGGCCUUUCCAAGCACUCACCGAGGAGAGCGGAGCGCUGGAUUUACCUCCUGCACACUCAGGCACCCGCGGCACAGGCACUGUGAGAUUCCAGUGACAGAUGGAUCUCUCUCGUGUGCACUUGCUCUUUCCUUGCUGUAUUUUUGUUUUCAAUGUGUUUGAUCUGAAGCUCUGAAGCUACUCAGAGACAACCCGCGAGAGAAGGAAGAGAAGGAGGAGGAACCAAGGGAGCGUGAGCGACAGAGGAGGCAGCCCUGCCUUGUUCUUCCAAAUCACACUGUGGAGGGGGGGGGGAAGACAAG